rnacentral:rRNA from 1 species
GGAUUAGAUACCCUGGUAGUCCACGCCCUAAACGAUGUCAACUAGACGUUGGCCCCAUUUAAGGGGUUAGUGUCGAAGCUAACGCGUUAAGUUGACCGCCUGGGGAGUACGGCCGCAAGGUUGAAACUCAAAGGAAUUGACGGGGGCCCGCACAAGCGGUGGAGCAUGUGGUUUAAUUCGAUGCAACGCGAAGAACCUUACCAGCCCUUGACAUCCUCGGAACUUUGUAGAGAUACAUUGGUGCCUUCGGGAAUCGAGUGACAGGUGCUGCAUGGCUGUCGUCAGCUCGUGCUG